CCCAUGUUACAGAAUAUAUUUACUGGUGGAACAGACAAUAAUGCAGCUGCUGUGAUUUGGGCCAUGACAUUCCUGAUGAAGAAUCCGAUAAAAAUGAAGAAAGCUCAAGAAGAAGUCAGGCGUAUUGCAGGAAAGAAAGGUUUUAUAAAUGAAGAUGAAAUCCAAAAACUAUCUUAUCUGAAAGCAGUGGUGAAGGAGACAAUGAGAUUACAACCUACAAUUCCCAUAAUCCCAAGAGAAACAUCUCAGCAUUGCAAUUUAGAUGGUUUCCAGAUACCUCCCAAAACUGUAGUUCAUGUGAAUGUAUGGGCAAUUGGAAGAGACCCUGAAGUUUGGGAAAACCCAGAAGAGUUUUGUCCUGAGAGAUUCAUCAAUAAAUCUAUUGAUUUGAAAGGGCAAAAUUUUGAGCUAAUCCCAUUUGGAGCUGGUAGAAGAGUGUGUCCUGGUAUGGUUAUGGGCCUGACAACUGUGGAGUUAGCUCUUGCUAAUUUACUUUACAUAUUUGACUGGGAAUUGCCUAUUGGAAUGAGC
rnacentral:misc_RNA from 1 species